GGCCUGGUGGUCUAGUAGUAUGAUUCCUUCUUAGGGUUGCUAAAUGGAGGAGGUCCUGGGUUCAAUUCCCGACCAGGCCC